GCUGUUUUAUUUCCUGAUUGUUUUUCUUUGAUGGUGCACAUGCACGUUCUCCAAUAUGACUAGGGUUCUGUAAAGCGGAGGUUGUAGCAACAGAGGCCGGACAGGUGUCUUUUCCGCGUGCGGACGGCGAAAGUUUCUCCUACUCGUCUGAACGCUGCACCUCGUCUGUAGAUAGUGAGAAGCCCUUGGCCUCUCGUUUCUGCCGGAUCACCACAGGUAGAAGUGCAGUCUGGGACCCACCAAUCGUCCUGACGUGUGAUGUUGUUGACCUGCGAAACCUGUCUAAGAUUAUCGUGACCAACGAGACAGCUCUAUCUGUGGCAACAGAACUACAGGUGAUCACAAUAGAGGCUGAAACUCUCUCAUCUGAUGAUAUCACCAACGUCAGCGCAAUUGUGCAGGAAGUAGUCGAGGCUAGUGCCACA